GAUGAACCCUAUUUUUAGCUAAUUAAACUAUGGCUACCGCUAUUUGGAUCGGUAUCUUUGCCGAAAUUAGGUCAUCUGAGACUAACAAAUACCAGAAGUACAGAACACACCAACAAUAAGGAUCACGGGAGUCGAAAACAAGAACAGCGACAUAGGAACCUUGAGUCAUCUUACAAUCCGGCAACUGAUUCAUCUCGCGCAGCUAUAGAUUUUUGCGAGAAAUUGUCACGGCUGUGUAGAUCGUUGUUGUUGAUCAGAUACAUAAUGAUUUGAUGACAAAAGAAUAUCAAGAACUUAAAUGAACAGAGAAAUCUGUACUAUUUUCUGGAACGAAUAGAAAAGUACACUCAACCAACAUAUACAUACACGAGCCGGAUCCAGAAUAGAGUCCUUGAAGCGGAAAGAUUAUUCAAGAAGCUUCUAAAGGUUUUUUUUUUUAGUGAGAAAAAUAUGGCGAUUGAUUUUCUUAAACUAAUGGUUGGAAGGUAUUAUAAGAUUGAUGUGGUUAUAUAUUAUAUAUAUGAUUAAGGAAAAUGGCUGCACCUAUAGCCAUAUGCUUAAUGGCCUUUGCAUGUUAUUUUGUUGGAAUUAUAUCUGUAAAUUCUUCAAGUAAAUGGAGGACAAUGAGAUCUCCUUAAUUGUGCACAACUUUAACAUAUUACUCUAUGAAAUUUGCAAGGAAAUGUAAAUGGUUUUAUCAAGUAAAAGAUUAUUUAUUGCCGGGUAUUGUUAAAGCAUGUAAUGAAUAAGCAAUAGAAGUUUUUUCAUUAAAUGAGGCAUUUCACUUGAUGUUGUUACUUACACUACUUGUUUAAUAAACUAUUGUAAGUGAUAAUAUUAGGGGUCAUGCCUUUAACCUCAUCUAAUCCAAAACUUCUUGCCUUUUCAUUUUUCAUUGUAAAAAUAGUCAUCAAUAAGUAAACACCAUGCUAUGACAUUAGAAAUCUUUCCACUUAGAUACCAACCUUUGCAUCUUACAAAUUUUUUUAUUGCAAAAGUGUUAAUAAGUGUUUACAUCAAAGGAGAUCCCAUUGUUCUCUUUUUCUUUGAGCAUUUUAGAAAUGUAAUUCCAACGAUAUAAGAUACAAAGGUCAUGAAACAUAUAGCUGUAAGUGACAAUCUCUGAUCAAUGAUGGUACUUUAUGUGACCACAUGAGGUUUAUAACAAGUUCCAACCAUCAUUUUAAGCAAACCGUGGACAUAUUAUAUCAUUUUCGCCAAAAUUGCAAAGCCUGUAAUCAUGAUCCUGUACAUGAUUAACCUCUUUGACCAGCUUCUUGAAUAAUCUUUCUGCCUUGAGGACUCGGUGUUCUAAACAAAGUCCAUGUAACAGCGUACUAAAGGUGCAAGCAUUCGGUCUAACUAAUCCGUUGAAGUCAUAGUGAAGGACUGCAAAUCCUUUGUUGGUGCGGGAAUUUUUCGUUCCACUUGAUCAUAAUGCUAAUGGUGUAGACAUUCAGUGUUCAUUUUUUUUAACAAUCGAUGCCAUUGUCAUUUCAUUUAACGUAUUGACCUCAACAUCAAAGGUUACUAAUUUGUUUUUAAGAAUUUGAUGAUUGCUGUGGUUAUUUUCAAACAAGCCACAGUUUUUUUUUUCUUUUUUUUUCCAGGUCUUUGUUACCAUUUUAUCUAGUAAUGAUGGAGAAGGUUGUGCAUUCGCUUAAGGUGUUGCGGUUCUCUUUCUCCAUCAAAAUCUUUUGAGUGACUAUGAUGGUUGGUGGAGUGCGAAAAGUUUUGCUUCGUUUCGAAGGUGGCUUAGGGUGAAGAUUAAGGUCUUGUUUCCACUUUGGCAAGCUUUUAACGAUAUUAUGAGGUUCUAUUUGCAAAAAGGCAACCCAUUGUUGUCAAACAGUAUACACCUAGAGCUUUCUUGAAAAUCACAGAUUAUCCCUGUUUUUUCGGAUCGACGAUAAGUUUGUAGUAGAUGUUGGAAAAGUUUGACAUUUUCAAGUUCAAAUCCUCCCACCUUGUAGUCAUUUGGUAUUUCGGUCGAUACAGUUUGACCUCCAUCAUUAUGUAAUAUUUUUCUUCGACAAUGUUCCAAAAUUUAUCUGCUUUCUGAGCAUUCCCGUCUUUUGAAUCCUCCA